ACACGCAUGACACACUGCAUAUCAAUAAGCGGAGGAAAAGAAACUAACUAGGAUUCCCCUAGUAACGGCGAGUGAAGCGGGAAGAGCUCAAAUUUGAAAUCUUAAAGGGUUUCCCUUUACGAAUUGUAGUUUAAAGAAGUGUUUUCUGUUGGAGUUUCGGUAAAAGUUCUUUGGAAUAGGACAUCAUAGAGGGUGAGAAUCCCGUAUUUGACCGUUACUUUCCAGCUGUGUGAUACACUUUCAAAGAGUCGGAUUGUUUGGGAAUGCAGUCCAAAAUGGGUGGUAAAUUUCAUCUAAAGCUAAAUAUUGGCGAGAGACCGAUAGCGAACAAGUACCGUGAGGGAAAGAUGAAAAGAACUUUGAAAAGAGAGUUAAACAGUACGUGAAAUUGUCAAAAGGGAAGCGUUUGACACCAGUGUUGUUUAGUUGAAAAUCAAUUCAAUAAUUUUUGAUUUUGAGUAGUAUUGACUUCAUCAGCUUGCUGCUUUCUUUUCUGAAAUUAUUGAAUGCACUUUUCAGUUAACAAGUCAACAUCAAUUUCUUUUGUUGUAAAAGGGUAAGAGGAAGGUGGCUUACGCUUCGGCGUAAGUGUUUAUAGCCUUUUACCUCUGCAAUCGGAGAGAUUGAGGACAGCAGCGUAGACUCUUCGGGGUUAGAUACACUUGUGCUAAGCUAUAGCCUUGUAUGGACAACUUGUUGACUAUGCUCAGUCAUGUAGCUUACUCGCUUGUGCUAUUUUACCUACGCUUAGGAUGUUGACUGAUAUGUAGUCGUA
rnacentral:rRNA from 1 species